rnacentral:misc_RNA from 1 species
AAGUCGUAACAAGGUUUCCGUAGGUGAACCUGCGGAAGGAUCAUUAACACGUAUCCAAUGAUACAAACUAAUACGCAGAACUAAGUUCCCCGUGCAUUGAACUUCGACGUCGCCUCGUGCUGGGUUGUGGUGGGUCCCCGGGGUCCGAAAGGGCGCUCGGUGUGGCAUACUCGGAACUGGCUAUCAUUCCUUUGAGAAUGGGACGAAGAGACAUAAUGGCGGGCUGAUUUACCCUCUUUUCAUCAACCACUUUGGUGGGAAGAGGGCCCCAUACCCUGUUUUCACCCUAUUUUACCCAUUUGACUAAUUUUUUCAAUCGAUUGGAGAAAUCCUCUCGAUUUACUAAGAUUUAUCUUAACUAAGCACAACUCUUAGCAAUGGAUAUCUUGGUUCUC